rnacentral:rRNA from 1 species
UGCCCGCGGAAUGGGGGAAUUUUCCGCAAUGGGCGCAAUCCUGACGGAGUCAUACCGCGUGCGGGACGACGCUCUAGGGAGUGUAAACCGCUUUUGACAGGGAAGAAUCCAUGACGGUACCUGUCGAAUCAGCCUCGGCUAACUCCAGUGCCAGCAGCCGCGGUAAUACGGAGGAGGCAAGCGUUAUCCGGAAUUAUUGGGCGUAAAGGGUUUGUAGAUGGUUGGAUGUGUCUGCUGUUAAAGCCAAUAGCUCAACUAUUGAGGUGCAGCGGAAACUAUUCGACUAGAGGACAGUAGGGGCAGAGGGAAUUCCCAGUGUAGCGGUGAAAUGCGUAGAUAUUGGGAAGAACACUCGGUGGCGAAAGCGCUGCUGGCUAGGAGUACCUGANCAUGAUGAAGCAAAGCCUAGGGGUAAAUCGU